GUAGGCGGUGAUCUUAGGCAAAUCCGGGAUCACUUACGCCGAGCACCGAGACGAGUCCUAUGAGGACGAAGUGACUGACACCACGCUUCCAGGAGAAGCCACUAAGCUUCGGCUUAAGAAAAACCGUACCGCAAACCGACACAGGUAGGCAGGGUGAGAAUCCCAAGGCGCUUGAGAGAACUCGGGUGAAGGAACUAGGCAAAAUGGCGCCGUAACUUCGGGAGAAGGUGCGCCCUUUGGUGUGGUCACGUGCGUGACUGAGCAUCGAAGGGUCGCAGUAACCUGGCCGCUGCGACUGUUUAUCAAAAACACAGCACUCUGCAAACACGAAAGUGGACGUAUAGGGUGUGACGCCUGCCCGGUGCUGGAAGGUUAAUUGAUGGGGUCAGCCGCAAGGCGAAGCUCUUGAUCGAAGCCCCAGUAAACGGCGGCCGUAACAAUAACGGUCCUAAGGUAGCGAAAUUCCUUGUCGGGUAAGUUCCGACCUGCACGAAUGGCGUAACGACAGCGGCGCUGUCUCCACCCGAGACUCAGUGAAAUUGAAAUCGCUGUGAAGAUGCAGCGUUCCCGCGGCAAGACGGAAAGACCCCGUGAACCUUUACUAUAGCUUUACACUGAACGUUGAGUUCUUCUGUGUAGGAUAGGUGGGAGGCUAUGAAACCAGGACGCUAGUUCUGGUGGAGCCAUCCUUGAAAUACCACCCUGAAGUGCUUGACGUUCUAACCUAGGCCCGUAAUCCGGGUCAGGGACCGUGUAUGGUGGGUAGUUUGACUGGGGCGGUCUCCUCCCAAAGAGUAACGGAGGAGCACGAAGGUACGCUCAGCGCGGUCGGACAUCGCGCACUGUGUGCAAAGGCAUAAGCGUGCUUGACUGCGAGAUCGACGGAUCAAGCAGGUACGAAAGUAGGUCUUAGUGAUCCGGUGGUUCUGUAUGGAAGGGCCAUCGCUCAACGGAUAAAAGGUACUCCGGGGAUAACAGGCUAUACCGCCCAAGAGUUCAUAUCGACGGCGGUGUUUGGCACCUCGAUGUCGGCUCAUCACAUCCUGGGGCUGUAGCCGGUCCCAAGGGUAUGGCUGUUCGCCAUUUAAAGUGGUACGCGAGCUGGGUUCAGAACGUCGUGAGACAGUUCGGUCCCUAUCAGUCGUGGGCGUUGGAGAUUUGAGGGGGGCUGCUCCUAGUACGAGAGGACCGGAGUGGACGUUCCGCUGGUGUUCGGGUUGUCAUGCCCAUGGCAUUGCCCGGUAGCUACGAACGGAAGUGAUAACCGCUGAAAGCAUCUAAGCGGGAAGCACGCCCCAAGAUGAGAUCUCCCGAGAGCUUGACUCUCCUAAAGGCACCAUCAAGACUAGGUGGUUGAUAGGUCAGGCGUGGAAGCGCAGCAAUGCGUUGAGCUAACUGAUACUAAUGAGCCGUGAGGCUUGACC
rnacentral:rRNA from 1 species